rnacentral:rRNA from 1 species
AAUGUUGGGUUAAGUCCCGCAACGAGCGCAACCCUUAUCCUUAGUUGCCAGCACGUAAUGGUGGGAACUCUAGGGAGACUGCCGGUGAUAAACCGGAGGAAGGUGGGGACGACGUCAAGUCAUCAUGGCCCUUACGAGUAGGGCUACACACGUGCUACAAUGGUAUGUACAGAGGGAGGCAAGCUGGCGACAGUGAGCGGAUCUCUUAAAGCAUAUCGUAGUCCGGAUCGCAGUCUGCAACUCGACUGCGUGAAGUCGGAAUCGCUAGUAAUCGCAAAUCAGAAUGUUGCGGUGAAUACGUUCCCGGGCCUUGUACACA